GUGAGUCAUCGAAUCUUUGAACGCACAUUGCGCCCUCCGGUAUUCCGGAGGGCAUGCCUGUUCGAGCGUCAUUUCAACCCUCAAGCACUGCUUGGUGUUGGGGCACUGCCUCUCUCGCGGGAGGCAGGCCCUGAAAUUCAGUGGCGAGCUCGCCAGGACCCCGAGCGCAGUAGUUAAACCCUCGCUUUGGAAGGCCCUGGCGGUGCCCUGCCGUUAAACCCCCAACUCUUGAAAAUUUGACCUCGGAUCAGGUAGGAAUACCCGCUGAACUUAAGCAUAUCAAUAAGCGGAGGA
rnacentral:misc_RNA from 1 species